GGAGACGUACCGAAGAGGUCGUAACGGGACGCACUCGAAAUGCGUUUGUCGGCAACGGCACGUGGGUUCGAAUCCCACCGUCUCCG
rnacentral:tRNA from 1 species